CGCUAGGUAUUACCUCCUAGCAGGACCCGUAUUCUAUUCUUAUUCAAACGAUACUGCGGAAAGAGAAAAAAAAACAUCCUCCUUUUGACUGCAAGGAUAUUUAUCAACAACAUAGACUUGCUUAUUGAUUUAGGAACUUUGGGAUAUCAGAACCCAUCAUCUCGCCAACUUCCAGUCUAAAAGUGAGUCGAGCUGCGCUACCGCAGUGCAAUACUGCGCAAAAUCAGCGGUUAAAUAAAAAAGAAUCUUAUUAUAUUGGUUAUGAACAUGUGCAUGAGGCACUGCCAUUGGAACGGCAGGUUGCCAAAGGCAUUAGCUGCUAAUUUGCAGGUACGUUUACAACCUGCCAGAGCUAAAUGAAAUGACCCGAAUGUCCGGCCGCCCGCUCACUACCACACCAACAUUUACCACGCACAACUACACUCGUCGGUAUUGGCGUGAAGCUAAGAUGAAGACAAAAGCUGCUGACGAUAUGUGUGGAAAGAUUCAGUUCCAGUUACUUUCAGGUUGAAUCCCGAUUCAAACUCAAAAACACGAAAACAACAUUUCAUAUUUCAUCUGCGUAGUCUCCAACCCAAAGAACACUUUGGGUUCCCUUUUACUGAACUGAAGUUUUUGCUCCAGCUCGGGAGAAUGCCAAAUGCCAUAAUGGACGACUUGGUUACAGACUGGCACUCUGCGGCUACAGCACCAUGAGGGCCUUAUCCCAAGGGCACGCAUCUUCCAGGCCGUAUCCUGGGCAUAUCGAAAAGUUGUUGGUCGAUAAGCUCUUGGAGCGGGAACCACAGCUGUGAGGAACUGCAGUCUGAGUCCAGCUGUAGAACAAGGAUUCCAACAGAACCCCAUCCACUUGAAAGGAAAAUAAAAGACAUUAAAGGGAAAAAAUUAAGCUGUUUCACAGAUGAGCUCAAAGGAGCCACCCUCUGUCAAUAUCUUAACUCUGCCCUAUUUGCAACUAUCUGGGUUUCCUAUUCUCCACUAUGAAUUUUUAUUAUGUAAGGUACUAUUAUUCUGUCAGACUCGUAAUUCUUC